rnacentral:lncRNA from 1 species
AAACAAUACAAAGUUUAGUGGUUACAUGCAAGAAUGGCUUGCUUCUGUUCUCAAAGACAAGUCAAAAACAAUGAAAACAAGCAACACUUUUUUCCCAUUUUUUUUUCAAAUAUCUUUUAACAAAAUUAUUGUUGUGCCAUUUUUCAUAAAUUUUUUACAAGACAUUAUUAUUUAUUUACUGACUGUGUCGAAGCUGGGCUGGCAGACCUGUGGCAUACAGCAAAGCAAUUUCCCAAGGGCUUAAUCAAGUUACCUACUCUUAAGAGCUGGGCUUGAUAAAGUGAAAUAGAGUGAAAUGUUGUGUUAUACAAGAAAGCAACUUGGAUUAUCCUCUACAUCUUUACUAUUUCAAUCUGAAUUAUGAAACUUAUGGAUUGUAAUAAAUGUGAUGUCCUGUUUCAAAAGUUACAACAUGCAUGUGUGACUCACAGUGUACUAACUUCAUGGAUUUGGAGACACAUUGUUAACGUAUUUUAAAACAAAUACUUACCAAGCACUUGUUAAAUAUUUCCUUGAUUGUCAGCAUGAAGGAAUAAGGACACAAUUCUCCAUUAUACUGCAGCAGGCAUAAUGAUAAAUGGAAAGGCAGUUUUAAAAUAACAAUUUCUCUAUGAUGUUUCAUUAAAAGCCAGCUGUUUGCUACCGGCAAUGAGCAUAGAAGAGUCUGUGGCAGCAGUGCUACAGGUUAUACUUUGUCUAAGUGUACAUUGCUUAUAGUAUUAUGCUGGUAGCUGCUGACCUGUUCCAUUGUAUGACUUUCAGACAAACUCUCUUUCACCCUUGCUGUAAAGAUAAGCCCAUUUUUUGAAAGUUCUUGGUAAAUAACAGCCAGAUCCCCAUUUACAAAACCAGAAUGCACUAGAAAUUCCUAGCUCAGCCUGUGCGGCUGGACAAACGAUCAGAAAUGUUUAAAUAUUGGAUUGGAGAAAAGCCAAAUUUUGAAUGUCAUGGAGAGCGGCCGGUGCCAAGCAUCCAAUUCUUCCACAGGGUCUGCACGUUUGAGCUGGAGCUAAUUGUUUACUCAGUCUGUCUGCCCAGGCAAACAAGCUCCUCAAAGCUCAUUGCUGUGAGCCUGCCCGGAUCCCCGUUCCUUGGCCUUUAUGUACUUAUUAGGCUUACAAUAAAGGACGGCACCGAAGCAAGCGCAGAUGUGAACAAAGCCAGGGGAAUGCCAGGCCUGGAUCCAGACCGUGGUAUGGAGAAAAGAAGCACCAUGACUGUGAGGGACCAGGUUGCCUGCAGCUGAGAGAUGCCAUUUGUGCAGGGAGCAGCCAGGGCUCUGCGAGGCAAAAAAGGAAUUGCGGAGAUAGAGCAAUCAAAUCCAAGUCCUGGGUGAACUUGAAGUGUUGUCUCAAGGACAAGGAGCCAGUGGCCAGGCAGGGGGUUGUGCCAACUGCUCUGAAAUGUCAGCAUUUAUCUUGCUCCGUGGCUCGGAUACAUUAUCUUUUCUGGGUCAGGCAGCCUGAAAAUAUCCCUCUGGUGAAAACAGGUGAUUCAAAGCCUGGCAGCUCAGCUGGUUGCAUGCCCUUUGUGUAUACCCCUGCGAACCUGCUACAACAUGAGGCAAGGGUGCAGGUGUCUGUAGGACUGAUAGCAGAACUGAUACACAGCUUGUCUCAUCCAGAGAUGAGGAUGAGCUCUGGGCAGUGCUCAUGAGGAGAGCAGCUUCUUCUGCGGUCACCUCUGGGAAAAUCCUCACUGCCAAGGGACGGCUUAUUCUUCCCUCAUAGGUAGUCAUGCUCAUGUCUUCUCAAAGCUGGAGUUUUUCUUGCUGAAAGUCUUCCUACCCCAAUCUUGAAAGUGUAAACCUGUGGAAAGUUUUUAUCCACCUAUUUGCUGGAUUGUACCAAGCCCCUCUGGUGCAAGUUUGCUGCAGCUCUCAUUAAACUCUGCCAACACUGUGUGAAAGGAUACCAAAAGACAUUUUGACUUAAAAUCUGGAUUUUAUGAGAGAAAAAGAGCCACAGGUUUAUUUCAGUUUUGUUUACCUAUAAAAUAAUGCAACUAUAAUUAAAGCAUCACUUGCAUCUCUGUCUGCCUGAAACUAUUCUGACAACAUAUUUUUUCUUUCUGAUUCAUCUACAUUGAAAACUUCCUCUGUUACAAUGCUGACUUUGAUGAUAUUUUGGGUUGAGCCCUUUAAAUGAUUUUUCACUUCACAAUGAGUUUCUGUCCCCAGACAUAUUUUGUUCUAUAUUACAUUAUAUUAAUA